rnacentral:rRNA from 1 species
UAUCUGGUUGAUCCUGCCAGUAGUCAUAUGCUUGUCUCAAAGAUUAAGCCAUGCAUGUCUAAGUACAUAAAGUAAUACUUUUUACAUAGAUGAAACCGCGAAUGG